CUGGCUGCCCACCGUCCUGAAUGUCAAGCCCUGUCCUGUGUCGCCAGUGCAGUGAAUCGCACAGUCAUGCUACAGGCUGUUCUUAGUAGAGCCUUCAUGUGUUAGCAUCCAGAUAAGGCAGAGAAACCUGGGGGAAGAGUAGGAGCUGAGAUGGAAAUGGGUGGUGGGUGGUGGUGGAAAGUUGGGCAAGGAACUUUUCUUAGAAGUAAUUCCAUAAGUGUUUGUUUACUAAAAGGCCGAGGUGAAUUCUUGGAAUGAGCUGAGGUGGGGAGAAGAUACCGAGACAGAACAAACUACCCCCCUCCCCACCCCAACACACCAACCCCCCAACAAACAAACAAACAAAACGCUGAGAAAUGAAACAUAGGUGUCAGAAAAGAAAUCAAACUAAUUUUUAAUGAAAUAGACUAAAAUUGAUUUUCUUGAAUCUUAGUAGCUUCUACUUCCAUCAGUGAGCUGCGCCAACCUUCUGAUGGGGCCAGUCUUCAUGACCCGAUGAAACUACAUUGCAAACGGGAAGAGACUUCAAGACCCACCCAUCAAGGCCCACCAAUCUAAAUGUCUUCAGAUACGCUCUGCUGGCAUGGACGGAUCCAAGAUAUAUAAGACACGUUCCUCAAUUCCUACUGGCUUAGGAUUUGAGAGAAGUAAAAGUAGCAGAUCCUACAGGCUGACAUGAUAAAGGAUCUCAGGAGGACCACAGACCUAAGGAAAUGAGAACUGUGAGGAUGUAUUAUGGCGAACUCUAGAACAUCUAUCAUGUAUAAAAUCUAACUAUGAAAUAGAAACGGGCGGACUUGCAUCCUAGAGUAUGGUAAUAACUGAUGAUUGGCUGUUAAAAAAUCUGAAGAUUAGGACAAAUAUGUGGGUUCACCCAUGCAACAAUUCCUGAUUAAAACUAAGUAGAGUUCUGUGGCAGUAGAGAUAAUGGUCUUCCUGGAGAAGGGAGCAGGAAAAAAUGGGUCAGAAUACAACCUAUUUUUUCAACACACACUUUACUGAAACGGGACCUAGGAAUACAAAAUAAUUGCAACCUGAGAAGAAAAGCACAGAUGGUCCCUCCUUAUGAAGGAGGAGUCGCCUCAGCACACACUUCUCAGGGUGUGCACUUUCAUGUGUGUGUACACUGUGUGUGUGACUGUGAGUACCCUUGUGCGUCCAUAAGGAGGCCAGAGGUUGACAUCAUUGUCUUCCUCAACUGUUCUCCAUCUUAUUUUUAGGGUCAGAGUCUCUGAGUGGACUGGGAGCUGACUGAUUCAGCUAGACUGGCUGACCAUGACUCCCAGGGACCUUCCUGGAGCCACAUCCUUAGUGCUAAGAUCAUAGGCACAUUCAGCCACUCCUGGCUUUGUAUUAUCAAGUGCCAGGGAUCUACCACCCUCAGUGUAAAGACCUCCACUCUCCUGGCUGUGCCAUCUACCUGGCCCUCUCUAACAGCAAAUGCUCUUAUAGGAAAUAACGAAGAGUCAUGAUGCUCAGAGGGCUUCCUAGAAACAUCAGUCUCCAAGGAUGUGUAUGGAUGGAGUCAGGAGAAGAGAUGGUCAGUAGAAAACCAAAGUACAAGUUUGAACUCAAACGCCAGUAGGCAUGAUGAUUAUACUUGCUUGUGAUGAAUAUGCAAAUAAACACCAAUCACAUCUUAACCUUUGGAAGUUAAAAUUGGAGAGUGGCAGAAAACAUCUUGGGCAAACUGUUAUUCCCACAUAAGGGAUUAUUAUUAUAUUAUUUACAUAGAAAAAAACCAAUCCCAAAUCAAUCUUUUGACAGUUGAAGAUUGAUGAAAAUGCUUAUUCACUCAUUAUACUCAAAUCCGUUAAACUCCUGCUAUGUGUUAUAUAAAGCAUUGAUCAGGAUUAGGAAACUGUCUUGUUAUUCUUUUAGCUCUCCUCAAGCCUUUCUGCAUUAAGUUUAUUUUUAGCCUAAAGACACAACAAGGUAGCAACUUACUAACAGUCUUAAGACAUCUAUUUAAUUCUCAGAGAUGCUCUCGCCAGUGAGCUUGGAGAAUAACAUGAAAUCUGUGUCUUCCCUGUAUGUCUGGCAAUCAUACUAGCAAAUCAUUUUAAACUGUUGGAACCGCAGGGUGGCAGCAGCACCCUUUGGCAUUUUCCUGUGAACCAACACAUGAAUGAAGCACCAGGAAUAGAGGCCACUGGACAGACCUUUCCUUAUACCUGGCAGUCCUGAGUGAGGGAAUUAUCCAGAGAAAACCACACUCCAGCUACAAAAGACAUUUAACCCAAGGGUGUUGAAGAGGGUGUGACUCUUGCUUCCUUCAUAGUUUGUACCGGUGGUGGAAACCUUUACUCCAGGCAAGACAAGCUUGUGCGACCUUGAGAUGUCUUCAUCUGCAGAGAGCCUCGACUCUGGAAGCUCUAGACCUUGCAGAGGCCAACUUCACACAGGUCUAAAGAAGGAAGAACACUUUCCCUAGUUCAUUGAGCUAGAAGCCUGUGUGUGAUUGACAGAUGGGAGGAGGAUACCUAUACUUGCCUAUAACUGGUUUUGAAAAAAGAGGAAGUUGGGCUGUGAUUGACACAAGUUGUAAGUGCCAUAUUUGCAUACCACGCACCCUUUCUAGCUGUGUGGCCCACUUUUCCAGUUUGCCAGGUAAACGUCUUUGCACAUCAACACUGGUUCCAA